UGCCCCGUCGUCCAACGGUAGGACCGCAGACUCUGAAUCUGUUAAUCGUGGUUCGAAUCCACGCGGGGCAUCCG
rnacentral:tRNA from 1 species